GGCGUGCCUACACAUGCAAGUCGAGCGGACAGAUGGGAGCUUGCUCCUGAUGUUAGCGGCGGACGGGUGAGUAACACGUGGGUAACCUGCCUGUAAGACUGGGAUAACUCCGGGAAACCGGGGCUAAUACCGGAUGGUUGUCUGAACCGCAUGGUUCAGACAUAAAAGGUGGCUUCGGCUACCACUUACAGAUGGACCCGCGGCGCAUUAGCUAGUUGGUGAGGUAACGGCUCACCAAGGCGACGAUGCGUAGCCGACCUGAGAGGGUGAUCGGCCACACUGGGACUGAGACACGGCCCAGACUCCUACGGGAGGCAGCAGUAGGGAAUCUUCCGCAAUGGACGAAAGUCUGACGGAGCAACGCCGCGUGAGUGAUGAAGGUUUUCGGAUCGUAAAGCUCUGUUGUUAGGGAAGAACAAGUGCCGUUCAAAUAGGGCGGCACCUUGACGGUACCUAACCAGAAAGCCACGGCUAACUACGUGCCAGCAGCCGCGGUAAUACGUAGGUGGCAAGCGUUGUCCGGAAUUAUUGGGCGUAAAGGGCUCGCAGGCGGUUUCUUAAGUCUGAUGUGAAAGCCCCCGGCUCAACCGGGGAGGGUCAUUGGAAACUGGGGAACUUGAGUGCAGAAGAGGAGAGUGGAAUUCCACGUGUAGCGGUGAAAUGCGUAGAGAUGUGGAGGAACACCAGUGGCGAAGGCGACUCUCUGGUCUGUAACUGACGCUGAGGAGCGAAAGCGUGGGGAGCGAACAGGAUUAGAUACCCUGGUAGUCCACGCCGUAAACGAUGAGUGCUAAGUGUUAGGGGGUUUCCGCCCCUUAGUGCUGCAGCUAACGCAUUAAGCACUCCGCCUGGGGAGUACGGUCGCAAGACUGAAACUCAAAGGAAUUGACGGGGGCCCGCACAAGCGGUGGAGCAUGUGGUUUAAUUCGAAGCAACGCGAAGAACCUUACCAGGUCUUGACAUCCUCUGACAAUCCUAGAGAUAGGACGUCCCCUUCGGGGGCAGAGUGACAGGUGGUGCAUG
rnacentral:rRNA from 2 species